GUUUUAAUAAUUUAUAUAAAUAAAAUAUUGGUCUUGUAAAUCAAAAAAAAGAAAAAUUCUUUUAAAACU
rnacentral:tRNA from 1 species